rnacentral:rRNA from 1 species
GAUGAACGCUGGCGGCGUGCCUAAUACAUGCAAGUCGAGCGAACGGACGAGAAGCUUGCUUCUCUGAUGUUAGCGGCGGACGGGUGAGUAACACGUGGAUAACCUACCUAUAAGACUGGGAUAACUUCGGGAAACCGUAGCUAAUACCGGAUAAUAUUUUGAACCGCAUGGUUCAAAAGUGAAAGACGGUCUUGCUGUCACUUAUAGAUGGAUCCGCGCUGCAUUAGCUAGUUGGUAAGGUAACGGCUUACCAAGGCAACGAUGCAUAGCCGACCUGAGAGGGUGAUCGGCCACACUGGAACUGAGACACGGUCCAGACUCCUACGGGAGGCAGCAGUAGGGAAUCUUCCGCAAUGGGCGAAAGCCUGACGGAGCAACGACGCGUGAGUGAUGAAGGUCUUCGGAUCGUAAAACUCUGUUAUUAGGGAAGAACAUAUGUGUAAGUAACUGGGCACAUCUUGACGGUACCUAAUCAGAAAGCCACGGCUAACUACGUGC